UCAAACUUGGUCAUUUAGAGGAAGUAAAAGUCGUAACAAGGUUUCCGUAGGUGAACCUGCGGAAGGAUCAUUAACAAUUGUCCUCUUCAUGGAUAAUUAUAUCCAUAUCCACCUUGUGUGCAUCAUUGAAGCGUUUGUUGGCAGGUUUUUCUGGCUCGUUGAGCCUGAGGAGUUUCGUGCUCGGCCUGCCAAUUUCAUGAAUAAAACAUGUCUCAAUAUACUGCUUGUCUGAAAUUGUUUUAUAUUAUAAUAAAUACAACUUUCAACAACGGAUCUCUUGGCUCUCGCAUCGAUGAAGAACGCAGC
rnacentral:misc_RNA from 1 species